rnacentral:rRNA from 1 species
UGGGGAAUUUUGGACAAUGGGCGCAAGCCUGAUCCAGCCAUGCCGCGUGAGUGAAGAAGGCCUUCGGGUUGUAAAGCUCUUUCAGACGGAAAGAAAUCUCUCAGGUUAAUACCUUGUGCGGAUGACGGUACCAUCAGAAGAAGCACCGGCUAACUACGUGCCAGCAGCCGCGGUAAUACGUAGGGUGCGAGCGUUAAUCGGAAUUACUGGGCGUAAAGCGUGCGCAGGCGGUUAUGUAAGACAGAUGUGAAAUCCCCGGGCUCAACCUGGGAACUGCGUUUGUGACUGCAUAACUAGAGUACGGCAGAGGGAGGUGGAAUUCCGCGUGUAGCAGUGAAAUGCGUAGAUAUGCGGAGGAACACCGAUGGCGAAGGCAGCCUCCUGAGCCAGUACUGACGCUCAUGCACGAAAGCGUGGGGAGCAAACA